GACAGAGGCCUCGAGCGUUAGGCGGAAUCACUGGGCUUAAAGCGUGUGUAGGCGGAUCGUUAAGUACCUUGUGAAAUCCCACGGCUCAACCGUGGAACGGCUGGGUAUACUGGCGGUCUUGAGCAGCCUAGGGGCGACCGGAACAAACGGUGGAGCGGUGAAAUGCGUAGAUAUCGUUUGGAACGCCGAUGGUGAAAACAGGUCGCUGGGGGCUUGCUGA
rnacentral:rRNA from 1 species